rnacentral:lncRNA from 1 species
GUUGGUCAGCAGGGAAGAGAGCAUGAUUGGAUCCCUGUGCUCCACACUCACCGGAUUUUGAGUUUCUGCAAGGAUGGAAAAUCCCCCUGCUGUGGGAUAAGCUGCCCCGUGUGCGCCUGCCUCAGCAUGCUGAAAGCUCCCACCUGGAUUCCAACAUCACACCAGCUCCUGGCCAUCAAACCUCGCUAGAACUUUGUCUGCUCAACUCCAGAGCCUGCUCAGCUCUGCCCUGCUCCUGCAGCCCAUGAUUCCAUCCCUCUAAUGAGCUGAACGAGCCCAGCGAGGAGCUCCAGGCUCUGUCUAACACACCGGCCCUGUUGCAGAGCUCAGUGGUGCUGCCAGCGGCUCCCCCAUGGCUGCAGCCAGCAGCGAGGGGACAGCAGGGACCCGGCUGCUGCCAGCUGGCACUGCCCUGGCCCUGCUCGGUGGCCUGGUCUACCUGGGCACCCUGUGUGCUGCUUGCAAACGGAAGGGCAGGAAGAAGGUCGCUCCGGACGGGGUGAAGCUCGUGGAGGAGGCCCUGCUCUGCCAGACACAGCUGCGCUCACUCAGCAAGUCGGACACGAAGCUGCACGAGCUGUACCGGGUGAAGGUCAGGGACGUCCAGCGUCCGGCCAGCCUGGAUCUCCCCGGUGCCGCGGCCCCUGGGGGUGAAUCCCUGCACAGCUCUGGCCUCCUGCACCGUGAGCUGCCCCAGAUCCCCGUCCCUGAGCCCCCGGCCACCUCCCCAGCCCCCGACCAGACCUACUCCAACCUGCUCUUCACCCCUCUGCGCAAACCGGCGCCAGACGCUGUCUAUGAGUGCCUGGCAGUGGGGGAGGAGGGCACCCCGGUGCUCCCCAGUGUCACCCCGGUGCCCCCCAUGCCAGCUGGCACCCAGCUGUCCCCUCCACGGGCUGGGCACAGUGCAGCUGAUUACGCCUGUGUCCAUAAAGUGAAGAAGGUGGUGUCGGUGGAGGGGCAGGACGGGGCUGUGGCAGGAGCCUCUGGAGCACAGCACGGCUGGGAUGGCACAGGCAGUGCCCGUCAUGCCAAGCUGGAGGAGAUGUACUCGACGGUGUGCAAAGCCACCAAGAAGAAAUCCCAGGUCCCUGGAUCAACCCCGAGGGCUGUGAAGGAUGGGGGGUCUGGGGGGCCGCCCCCCUGCCAGCAGGAGGGGGCCCCAGCAGCCCCAGGCCCCCCUGACCCCUGUUAUGAGUCCAUCAACGACAGAGCAUGGACUGCCCAGGCCCGUGGCCCCGAGCCUGACUACGAGGCUGUGGACAUUCACUGGAAGAAGGCAGCAAAAGGGGCCAAGCCAGGGAAGGGCUGUGUGCCUGAGAACCUCUACGAGAGCGUGGUGGAUGUCUGGGCAGGGGGGUCCCAGAAAGGCUCUGCCCGCACAGCAGCCAACGGGCUGCAGGUUUACAUCACCAACCUAUAGCCCCCAGGAGCAGGGGCAGUGCCACAGGGGAGCCCACCUGGUGCCAGCACCCCUGUGCCCACCCUGUGCCCAGCACUCACUCUCUGUACAUAUUUCCUGUUACUUUUCUAUGAGUGUCUUUGUCCCAUUCCAGCCCAGCUGGUGCCAGCAGUGGUGGGAUGUCCCAGCAUGGGCAGUUUGGGGGUGCUGGGUGGGACCCCAGUGAGAGAGGACUGGCACUGGCACCAAGAUGGGAACAGGGUGGGGACCAGUCACAUUUUGGGGCAGGGGGGUGACAGGGCUGCAGCCAGCCCCCUGCCUUGGGCUGCAGGAUCAGAUCCCCAUCAGGAGGUUUCUGCCAUGCCUGAGGGUCUCUGUGCUCCUCACACUGCCUGGGGGAGAGCGCGGCCUCCUCCAGCCCCCAGGAAACCCUGAGAAGCUUUGCCCCAAAUCACAGAAUGUCCCUUGUUAUAGGGAGAUGGGGUCAGCCCUGUGCCUCCAUAGAAUCAUAGAAUAUCCAUAGUUGGAAAGGACCCACAAGGGAUCAUUGAGUCCAUCUUCUCACCCUGCACAGGACUACACAGAAAUGUCACUGGUGUGGGCUGUGGGCUCUGCUGCAUCCUCCAUCCCCACCCUCUCAGACCCGUGCAAGGGUGUAUCCAUGGGUCACCAUUAAAAGGCUGAGAGAAAAGUUUACACUCCUAAACUGAGUCUAAAUCCCUGAUUCUGAGGGCUCUUGCUGCUGCUGGUGCAGCUGGUGCUGAGGGAGCAGCUUUGAGCACAACGUGUCAGUGAGUGCACCAGCCCUGCAUGGGUGGUUUGGCACCUCUGAAAUGGGGACACACAGCCACCAAGAGCUGCUCUUUGG